UAGCGGAGGAAAAGAAACCAACCGGGAUUGCCUUAGUAACGGCGAGUGAAGCGGCAAAAGCUCAAAUUUGAAAUCUAGUACCUUCGGUGCUCGAGUUGUAAUUUGUAGAGGGAUACUUUGGGGCCGUUCCUUGUCUAUGUUCCUUGGAACAGGACGUCAUAGAGGGUGAGAAUCCCGUGUGGCGAGGAGUGCGGUUCUAUGUAAAGUGCCUUCGAAGAGUCGAGUUGUUUGGGAAUGCAGCUCUAAGUGGGUGGUAAAUUCCAUCUAAAGCUAAAUAUUGGCGAGAGACCGAUAGCGAACAAGUACAGUGAUGGAAAGAUGAAAAGAACUUUGAAAAGAGAGUGAAAAAGUACGUGAAAUUGUUGAAAGGGAAGGGCAUUUGAUCAGACAUGGUGUUUUGCGCCCUCUGCUCCUUGUGGGUGGGGGACUCUCGCAGCUCACUGGGCCAACAUCAGUUUUGGUGGUCGGACAAAUCCGUAGGAAUGUAGCUUACCUCGGUAAGUGUUAUAGCCUGCGGGAAUACGGCCAGCCGGGACUGAGGACUGCGACUUUUGUCAAGGAUGUUGGCAUAAUGGUUAUAUGCCGCCCGUCUUA
rnacentral:rRNA from 1 species